rnacentral:rRNA from 1 species
UAGGGAAUCUUCGGCAAUGGGGGGAACCCUGACCGAGCAACGCCGCGUGAGUGAAGAAGGUUUUCGGAUCGUAAAGCUCUGUUGUUAAGGAAGAACGAGUGUGAGAAUGGAAAGUUCAUACUGUGACGGUACUUAACCAGAAAGGGACGGCUAACUACGUGCCAGCAGCCGCGGUAAUACGUAGGUCCCGAGCGUUGUCCGGAUUUAUUGGGCGUAAAGCGAGCGCAGGCGGUUAGAUAAAUCUGAAGUUAAAGGCAGUGGCUCAACCAUUGUAGGCUUUGGAAACUGUUUAACUUGAGUGCAGAAGGGGAGAGUGGAAUUCCAUGUGUAGCGGUGAAAUGCGUAGAUAUAUGGAGGAACACCGGUGGCGAAAGCGGCUCUCUGGUCUGUAACUGACGCUGAGGCUCGAAAGCGUGGGGAGCGAACAGG